rnacentral:rRNA from 1 species
AUUGAACGCUGGCGGCAUGCCUUACACAUGCAAGUCGAACGGUAACGCGGGGCAACCUGGCGACGAGUGGCGAACGGGUGAGUAAUGCAUCGGAACGUGCCCGGUAGUGGGGGAUAACUGCUCGAAAGAGCAGCUAAUACCGCAUACGACCUGAGGGUGAAAGGGGGGGAUCGCAAGACCUCUCGCUAUCGGAGCGGCCGAUGUCGGAUUAGCUAGUUGGUGGGGUAAAGGCCCACCAAGGCAACGAUCCGUAGCUGGUCUGAGAGGACGACCAGCCACACUGGGACUGAGACACGGCCCAGACUCCUACGGGAGGCAGCAGUGGGGAAUUUUGGACAAUGGGCGAAAGCCUGAUCCAGCCAUGCCGCGUGCAGGAUGAAGGCCUUCGGGUUGUAAACUGCUUUUGUACGGAACGAAAAGGUUUGGCCUAAUAAGCUGAGCUCAUGACGGUACCGUAAGAAUAAGCACCGGCUAACUACGUGCCAGCCGCCGCAGUAA